rnacentral:lncRNA from 1 species
AAGAGGAGCCAGAAGAUUGCGAGACCAUCUCUUCCAUUAAAACUGAUAUAGCUUGUGUGGUUAACUCUGAAGUGAGUGCUGUUUUAGCAGUCAUGAGAAGAAAUGCGAGGUGGGGUGGUCGUUAUGUAUCCGGGGAUGAUCAACUAGAGCACUCACUCAUCCAGUCUCUGAAGACCUUACGUAAACAGAUAUUCUCAUGGCAGCAUCAGUGGCAAUCUGUCAGUCCAGCCUUAUAUCUCCAGCCAUUUCUAGUGGUCGUUAUGUAUCUGGGGAUGAUCAACUAGAGCACUCACUCAUCCAGUCUCUGAAGACCUUACGUAAACAGAUAUUCUCAUGGCAGCAUCAAUGGCAAUCCCUCAGUCCAGCCUUAUAUCUCCAGCCAUUUCUGGAUGUUAUUCGAUCUGAUGAAACUGGAGCACCUAUCACUGGUGUUGCAUUGU